UGGGAACGCGAAGAACCUUACCUAGACUUGACAUCCCCUGAAUUACCUGUAAUGAGGGAAGUCCCUUCGGGGACAGGGAGACAGGUGGUGCGUGGUUGUCGUCAGCUCGUGUCGUGAGAUGUUGGGUUAAGUCCCGCAACGAGCGCAACCCUUAUCAUUAGUUGCUACCAUUAAGUUGAGCGCUCUAAUGAGACUGCCCGGGUUAACCGGGAGGAAGGUGGGGAUGACGUCAAAUCAUCAUGCCCCUUAUGUCUAGGGCCACACACGUGCUACAAUGGUGAGUACAACGAGGUGCGAACCCGCGAGGGGAGCUAAACUCAAAAACUCAUCUCAGUUCGGAUUGCAGGCUGCAACUCGCCUGCAUGAAGCUGGAGUUGCUAGUAAUCGCGAAUCAGAAUGUCGCGGUGAAUACGUUCCCGGGUCUUGUACACACCG
rnacentral:rRNA from 1 species